UACGAAGGGGGCUAGCGUUGCUCGGAAUUACUGGGCGUAAGCGCACGUAGGCGGUCUUUUAAGUCGGGGGUGAAAUCCUGGAGCUCAACUCCAGAACUGCCUUCGAUACUGGAAGACUUGAGUCCGGGAGAGGUGAGUGGAACUGCGAGUGUAGAGGUGAAAUUCGUAGAUAUUCGCAAGAACACCAGUGGCGAAGGCGGCUCACUGGCCCGGUACUGACGCUGAGGUGCGAAAGCGUGGGGAGCAAACAGG
rnacentral:rRNA from 1 species